GGCAAAUGUAGCAGCAUCUAUGUGGUGGUUUUGGGAUGCUGCCAGGAUGUAUACUUCUCCUGCCUUCCAAGCAUGGUGGUGGUAGCAUCAGGGUCUGGAGCUGCAUGAGUGUGGCUGGCACUGGGAAUCUGCGGUUCAUUGAGAGAAACAUGGAUUCCAACAUGUACUGUGACCUUCUAAGGCAGAUCAUGAUGACCACCCUUCAGAAACUGGGCAAAAUGCAGUUUUGUAACUAAAUAAUGAUCCCAAACACAACCCCAAGAUGACAAUUGCCUUGGAAAGAAGGUGAAGGUUAUAGAGUGGCCAAGUAUGUCUCCAGGCCUGAGCACCUGCGGGGCAAGCAGAAGGACAUCAUCCAGUCAGAGGUAACUCCAGAACUUCCUCAACAUCUUCAGGAAGAUUUGUGGUUUUCUGCUGUUGUGGCAAGCUUUUUCCCCCCUCAAGUUAAUUCAAGAGGCUUUUAUUCCUAUUCCAGCCAUACAGUGAAAUUAUGCUGUGUUCCCCCAGGACCAAAGUUCUGCACAAAUCUAACUAAAACACUACAUAAAGUGAACAUGUGCAAACAACAUUUCAUGUAAACAAACAACACAAUUACACAAUAAAAUCUCAUUGUGUCACACAGUGACAGUGUAGCACUGAUCAGUAC